UCCACAAACUGCCUUCGCUUACUAUUCCUAUCCCGUUUCUACAUUCCACAACGUUUGUUGCGUUCUCGCUCAUCAGGGUGUUAGUCAAUUCUCUCUUGCCACACGAAGAGAAUUCUCCUGCACACUUCGUGUGUUGGAUUCUACCCAUCCCUGUUGAACACACGUCAUUUUCUUCCAUCACACUCAUCAGGGUGUUUGCUCUUUUCCAUCCAAGCCAAAGAGCGACUUCAGUGUGCUCUGAACCGUGAUAGUGUGAUAGUGUGUGUUUGUGUGCUGCGUGAACUAUUUUUCCUGCGUGAAACACUUUCCAUACUGCACCAUCCGCGGUGUUCUUUCUGCUUCGGAGGACGAAUUUUUAUCAUCUAAUUGUUUGGAUGUGUGCUGCUACCACUAGCUGUUCCUCAAACUACUUAAAAAGUGUGACACUGUGUGUGACACAGGUAAGUUUGUCACAUCUUUAAAUGAAGUGUAAUCUUUUUAACAAAGCGUGUCUAUUAAUUGUGUAUUUUCAUCAACAGCCUUCAUACAACACCGCGGUUGAGGCGCGCCAAAUCUGAUGACAUUUUUCCUGAACCAAGCAGGCUGAACACGCGCACCACCACGGGCUCCAGCGCGGUGUGAAGAGGGAAGAAGAAAAGACAGAAUUGGAAACAGCCGCACCAAGCUUCCAACCACCGUGUGUGUAUGUAAGUAUGUGAGAACACAUGUGUGAAUCCUCUUGUGAGAACUGCAAAAAGAAGAGAAUAAAGAGUGUGAAGCAGCUAGACUGCCGCAACCAAA